CGCGGAGACAGACACUGGGACAGGAACUGGCCGGGAGAAAGAUCCCAAGGCAGGUGUACGACUGAGCUGAGGACCUGUUCCACGGUGCGUCAUCUGUUUGGGUUCGGUUCCGGCAGGACUACUUACUACUUCAGCUGGCAUUAUUUCAUGUGCGAAAGUCGCAGCGUGUUGUGUUUGCUAUUAAAAAUGUCAGCCACCGAGUGUGUGUGUGUUGCUGUGUGUGCUGUGUGUUGCUGCAGCUGUAAAAUGGACGCUGGCACACACAUGUGUGCCCAAGAACACGCUUUUAACACCGAAAUGAACUUGUUCGCCAUGUUUAUGAGCUGAUAAAAAACAGUUGACCAACA